AAAUAAAAUAUUUUUUAAAAAAUUUACUAGUAUAAAAUAACAUUUAAACCAAUGUAAUGUAUAGGGCAUGACAGAUCUGAGGAACUCUGAGAGAUGUAAUGCAAUACACACUCUCCCUUUAAGGAAUGUGAUUUCUGGCUAAAAAGGCUAAGAAAUGCUAACUGUUAUUAAAUAACUUUCUGUUAUUUAAAUAAAAUUCACUGUAUUAGCUAGGUAUGGUGGUGCACUUCUAUAAUCUCAGCAGUUUGGGAGACUGAGGCAGAAGGAUCUCAAGUUCAAGUCCAGUCUCAGAAAUUAUAAAUAAAUAAAAAGGACUGGGGAUGUGACUCAGUGGGUAAGCACCCCUGGGUUUAAUCCCCUGUACCAAAAAAAAAAAAAAAAAUUCACCCUAUUGGAGAGAAACUGCAUAGAGAGUGACAUAUCUCAGACAAAUAAACUGGACACAUUCUUAUCUUAGUAAGGCAUUUGCAAUAUUCCUGUUUGAAUCUCUGCAAAUUUUAAACAGUAAAUACAAGUGACUGUUGCCCAACAAUCAGGUGAUUUUUAUAUACAUUACAAGUUACACUACUACAGGGUAGCUUUUUAAAAAGCUGGAAUACUAGUAAUCUGUAUUUCAUUUAUUCAGGAUCUUUUAUAAAUUACAAAGGACAAAUUCUCUUUUUUUAAGUAGAAACUCAUGGGAACUCUCAAUAGAGGAUUUCAUCUAUAAUCAUUAUCUCUUAGACACCAUCUAAGCAUUUAUGUGUAUCAGGCCUCAUGUGACUCUAAAAGGCGUCGUCCAAUUAUUACAUUGCUAUGGUUCUGCCCACCUAGCCAUAGACUGUUUCCAAAAUAAGAAAUGAGAACUUUAUUUCAGGUCUCUACUUAACUCCCUUAACUAACAGAUGAUAAUGAGAUUUAUUUCCUGUCUAAUGUUGGAACUUUUAAACUCACUAUUCAGAAUUUUUUCUUUUGUAAUGCUGGAGAUUGAAUGGCAUAAUUUUGAUGCCCAGAAUUAAAUGCCUGCCAAAGCUUAAAAAAAAAAAAAAAAAAGCUCAUAAACCAAGAUACUGCUCUCUGCUUAUUUCUGAGAAUUCACAUUCCAUUCUGCCAGUUUCCAGGCCACAUCUCACCACUCCCACGACUAAACCACAUUCUAUAUGUGGCUCAUAAGCAAUUUUCCUCAACCUCCUGUCGGCCCACACUUCCUUAGUCAGCAUCUGUCUUUUCUCAGAUCUAUUAAUUGAAGGGCUACUUCAACUAAUGUGUGUACAGCACAGUACACUAUUAACUUCCUUGUCCCCAAGGUUUAUGCCUUUCCUUUAUAAUCAGGGAAAAUGAGUCAUUCUAAAUACCCCCCCUGCAUACGUUGCUACCUUCUUUAUAGAAUUGCUUCUUUGACAAGGACCUUGUUCCCUUUGCCCCAUUAAAAUUGUGUCUCUGAUUUGGAUUCCUAAUUUAUACUUGAACUCUCUUUUUCCCUCUUUAAUUUCCUAGGCUACCUCCUCAUUCUUCUUUUUUCACUUCCUCCCUCCCUGCCCUUUUCCUCUAUAUUAUACCAUAUCUCUCCUAACUCUUCAGCACUGUCCUUAAUUGUCGAUCCAGUUUGCCUGGUUUAGUAAACCUUAUGUGGGUAGCUUCUUUGAUCUUCUAAACCUCUCUCACCACCAAAUACAUUUUCACAGAAUAAUCUUGAUUCAUUACAAGGUAAUAAAGCUUUCUACACAUUAACAGCAUGCAAUCUCAAUGUGUUCCUUAAAUAUCCAGAAGUAAAGUAGGUAGGACUAUUUCUAGUUUGAAAAUACUCUCAACAACAUUAAUAACAACUAACACCAUCUGACAAUUAAGUCUCAGACACUGACCUGAACACAUAUACCUCAUCAGACAUGACUGCCAUUACAAUGCAAUGCAUAGUGGUACUGUCACCCCCCUUUCAAAGAGUAGGAAACUUGAGAUGGUUACUUAAUUUGCAUGAGAUCACAUAAGUACGAAAUGGAAGAGCCUAUGCUUGCAUUCAGGGCAAAUUCCAUAGCUGAGACUCUAACCUAUCUUAGGUCACUUGCUCCUUGAGCUGGGAGUUCUUCCUUUGCCUAAAAAGAAGGAGAAAGAGAAGGGAAAAACUGAAGGAAUCCUCCUCCAGUUGUUUUUUGUACAGAUCAACCAUGAAAUGGCCUGACAUAAUUAUUUUCCCUCCUCCUUUCAUUGAAGACCUCUGUGCCAGGUGCUUGGGCAGAUGGGUAGAGAGAGGAAUAAGGAGACGCUUUUCUUAUGAUCAAGGAGCUCGUGAUUUUAAAAGGAGAAGUCAAAUUUCAUGAUAACACAGCAUAAAUCAUGUAUGAUUUUUCUCUCAUGCCCCUUGGACGUGACUCCUCUCUUGAAUCUAUUCCCUCCCUCCUUAUAAAACUUGUUAUCUCUACCUCUCCUAGGAUAUUUGGUACGUUUUCUACUGUGAAAUAGCUAUUUUCAUGCAACUUUUGUUUCCUUUUAUAUGAAUAAAAUUCUCAAAGAUUGAAGACUGUCC
rnacentral:lncRNA from 1 species